rnacentral:lncRNA from 1 species
CUUUUACAAAUAUAUACUUUAUAAAAGAUAGUCAUAGCAUUUAAUAAGAUAUCUUAAAUCUUAACAGGUCGUUGUUAUAUUCAAUAUAUUGUUAAAAUAUCCGUUACAACAGAAGAUUAUAACCUUAUGUCCUCAUAUAAACAAAUGUUUUUAGCUUCUUAAGAAGCCUGAAAAAGGAGAUGAGCCAGCCAGUGAGAAGCACAAAGAAAAAGAUGAAGAAGCUGACACUGAAGAAAGCAAAUGGGAUAAGUCUCCUGGACCUGGGAGUAUAAGAUCCAAAUCAUUGGAAGGUUCACUAAAAGAGCUUAAGGAGAAGUCACAAAAUGAUAGUGACAAAGAGCAAAGAGAUUUGGAGAGAAGAUUUCGAGAUAAAGAACCUGAAAGGCAAAGGUAUCGACUGGAUGAUGGCAGAAAGCAUAGAACUCACUAUGAGUUUGACAAGUUUGUGAGAAGGAAUGAAGAAGAGCUGAAAUGGGGGAAAGGAUACAACCAAGACAGAGGAAAGAAAGGGAACCACAACUACAACUUCACUGUGGAGGCAGUAGACAAACUGGGAUCGCCCAGCCAUGCAGCUGUACCAGCCAGGGGCUCGCAUCCGAACGCAUACGGGAUCCACGAGUAAAGCCUACGACUGCAGUGGGAAGUCUUCUGAAGAUGCCCUUGACAAAAAGUAUGAGGUGGAUAACUCAGUGGGAGGUGGCUCUGAGAAGAGUGAGGAGGCAGAAUAAAACAAACUAGAGGAAAGACUUGUGGAAAAGGAUGUACUUCAGAUUCAACAUCGCCACAUAGAGCUGUUUCAGAAGCCCAACACCAACAAAAUUGUCAUAGCUUUCUCUUACUUCCUCUGAAAUAAAGGAAAGAGAGACUGGAGCUAUACA